GACGAACGCUGUUGGCGUGCUUAACACAUGCAAGUCGAACGGAAAGGCCCUGCUUUUGUGGGGUGCUCGAGUGGCGAACGGGUGAGUAACACGUGAGUAACCUGCCCUUGACUUUGGGAUAACUUCAGGAAACUGGGGCUAAUACCGGAUAGGAGCUCCUGCUGCAUGGUGGGGGUUGGAAAGUUUCGGCGGUUGGGGAUGGACUCGCGGCUUAUCAGCUUGUUGGUGGGGUAGUGGCUUACCAAGGCUUUGACGGGUAGCCGGCCUGAGAGGGUGACCGGCCACAUUGGGACUGAGAUACGGCCCAGACUCCUACGGGAGGCAGCAGUGGGGAAUAUUGCACAAUGGGCGGAAGCCUGAUGCAGCAACGCCGCGUGCGGGAUGACGGCCUUCGGGUUGUAAACCGCUUUCGCCUGUGACGAAGCGUGAGUGACGGUAAUGGGUAAAGAAGCACCGGCUAACUACGUGCCAGCAGCCGCGGUGAUACGUAGGGUGCGAGCGUUGUCCGGAUUUAUUGGGCGUAAAGGGCUCGUAGGUGGUUGAUCGCGUCGGAAGUGUAAUCUUGGGGCUUAACCCUGAGCGUGCUUUCGAUACGGGUUGACUUGAGGAAGGUAGGGGAGAAUGGGAUUCCUGGUGGAGCGGUGGAAUGCGCAGAUAUCAGGAGGAACACCAGUGGCGAAGGCGGUUCUCUGGGCCUUUCCUGACGCUGAGGAGCGAAAGCGUGGGGAGCGAACAGGCUUAGAUACCCUGGUAGUCCACGCUGUAAACGGUGGGUACUAGGUGUGGGGUCCAUUCCACGGGUUCCGUGCCGUAGCUAACGCUUUAAGUACCCCGCCUGGGGAGUACGGCCGCAAGGCUAAAACUCAAAGGAAUUGACGGGGCCCCGCACAAGCGGCGGAGCAUGCGGAUUAAUUCGAUGCAACGCGUAGAACCUUACCUGGGUUUGACAUGGAUCGGGAGUGCUCAGAGAUGGGUGUGCCUCUUUUGGGGUCGGUUCACAGGUGGUGCAUGCCUGUCGUCAGCUCGUGUCGUGAGAUGUUGGGUUAAGUCCCGCAACGAGCGCAACCCUUGUUCACUGUUGCCAGCACGUUAUGGUGGGGACUCAGUGGAGACCGCCGGGGUCAACUCGGAGGAAGGUGGGGAUGACGUCAAGUCCUCAUGCCCCUUAUGUCCAGGGCUUCACGCAUGCUACAAUGGCUGGUACAGAGAGUGGCGAGCCUGUGAGGGUGAGCGAAUCUCGGAAAGCCGGUCUCAGUUCGGAUUGGGGUCUGCAACUCGACCUCAUGAAGUCGGAGUCGCUAGUAAUCGCAGAUCAGCAACGCUGCGGUGAAUACGUUCCCGGG
rnacentral:rRNA from 1 species